UUUUUUUUUUAUUUUUUUUUUUGGAGCAUUGAUCGCAAAAGAAAAAGCAGCAAGAAGUGGAUAAUAAAGCAGGGCAAGUCCUGAAAUGAACCAAAGGGCACUUUAGGGCAUAAAGAAACGAAAUCAGGGUUCCAACUAGAUGCGCCCAUCUGUGGUAACUUUGAAACAAGAAGGGCAUGCUUUUUUGCUUGAAACGAAAAUCGAUAAAUCAAAAAGCAAAAGAUGAAACGAGGAAGAAGGCUCCAAUAAUUCACACACAAAAUCCAAAGGUCACAACAGACACUGACUUUGCUACUAACGACUAAUUAAUACAAGAGAGAAGACGAAUUCAUUGGGUUUGGGCUUAUUUUAAUUUACAUUUACAAAGAUUUACAUUAUUAAUAAAUUAUAAAUCUAUUUAAAGAAUAAUAUUUGAUUUUUUAAAAAUAAUGCGGCAACAGAAAUAAUGCCCAAAAUGGUGGGCCGUACGCCGCCGGUUAGAGGCGCCGUACAUGUGAGUGCCGGGGUGAUAAUGUACUGGAUGACAAUAGAAUGGCUUUUAAGGGCAUUUUUUAGGCAGAAGCUUUUAAAGGUGGGCUUUGAUGAGCGAUUGAUUGGUGGACGUACGUGGGUGACUUUGGUGCAGACAGAUUGGAUGUGGGAUUUCUGUCAGCUGGAUUUGAUCAUUCGGGACUUACAAUUUUCCCAGAAAGAAGAUGAUAAAAUAAAAACCAGGCCACUUUGGAUAAUAUCUGCUUGUGUAAAUCCUGGGCUUGCAUAUUUAGGGGCCCAAGAAGUUUGAGUCCCAUAUGGCCUCUCUUUGUGUUCUAACUCUAUUAGAGAUUUUUACAGCCUAAGGAACGCAAUUAUUGAACUAAGUCAGGCAUCAAACAAUUUAUCAAAACAAGAUGAUCGUAGAAGACUAUGUAUAUGAAUUCUGUUUCCACUGAAUCAUAGCCAGAGA
rnacentral:misc_RNA from 1 species